AAAGUGCCAACCCGACCCUCUCUUCCCCGAUCUCCCCUCUGCUCAUGCUCUGUCUCCCUCUCUCUCUCACGAAUCGGCGCCGACGGGAAUGGAGUUUCGACCUCUGGCGAUCUUUCUCCGCCGGCAUCGUCUCCGAUUGAUCUUAGAUCCGGCUGGCAUUUCCCUCUCCGGGUUGCAUCAUAGCAUCUUGUCUUCUCACGCCCGCCUGCCGAGCCCUAGUUCUUGUUCCGGUGCCGCUGAUUAAGCUCAGAUCCGGUCGACGCCUUUUGUCUCCGGACUACAGACGUCGUAUUGCGUCUACCACCACUCAAUCGUUGGCGUAGAUUGGGCUUGGAGCACGAAGGUGAGGAGCUAGCUUCCCAGAUCCAUCGAUCGCCAGUGUGGAGAGGCAGUUAGGGUUUCAAGGGUAAGCAAUCCAAACCUUAUUCCUUCUAUGUCUCUGAUUUGUGCCCUAACUUCGAGCCUUACUCUUCGAUUCUUCCUACUGACAUCGUUGGAUCAUAUCUUGAACUUUUCUGUUUCUUGGUGUGAUUGAGCUCACGGUUGAAGGGAGGUGGGGUUCUGUGAUCGUGAGGUGAAUUCAUCAGCGAGGAUUUGUUCUGUGAAGGUGAUCUUGGGUUCCAGCAGUGACGAUCCUCAGUUGUGGAUCAAUUGAUAAGGGCUGUGAGGUGAAAUUGAGUGUUGUGGAUCAACAAGCGUGGCUGUAAAGAUCUGUUCUAUUCUGUUCUUUGGUGUUCUUGAUCCAGCUCACUUUGUUCCGACAACACUCCUUCCAGCAGCUCCUCUUUAGCUGCGGAUCAAGAGCAGAGAGCUGGGAUUUGAGGUUGAGGCCAUUGGGAGAUAUUCCAGUCACUACCCCCCUUGUCGCGAGGAUUUCUUGUUGUUGAUUUCUGUUAUUGUUUCUAUGCAUAUGAUGGUGAUGUGGGAUUUUUGUACUUGGACUUUAUGUUGACUUUUGGGUUUUCCACUCUUGUUUUCUACUACGGAUAUUUUCAUUACUUCAUGAAUUUGGUUAUUCUUCGUUGUAGUGGAGUAGGAGAUUUUACAUAUAUCUACAAUGAUUUUUAUAUCA